rnacentral:rRNA from 1 species
UUAACUCUAUAGGUAGUAUUAAACCAUUAUGUACUGGCGGUCUUAUAAAUUUAGAGAAACUCGCUUUAUAAUCGAAAAUACCCGAUAAUUUUCACUUAAUCUCAAAGUCUAUAUACCGCCGUUCAGAGUAGAACUAAAAUUCUUACUCCAUAAAGCCAUUAUCCCCAAAAUCAGGUCARGGUGUAGCUAAUGAUUAAGAAAAAGUAAGUUACAUUAAAAAUAAUUUAAGAACAAAUCAAUCAAAACUAUUUARAAAAAGAAUUUAUCUGUACAUUCUAAUUAAAAUUUAGAAUAGAACCAAAAAUAAAAGAUGCACACAUCGCGG